rnacentral:rRNA from 1 species
CGUCGGGAAACUGACGGUAUACCCGAUAAUAUCCAAGGAUCAAAGGAGCAAUUUGCCCCGGGAUGAGCCUAUGCCCCAUUAGCUAGUUGGCGGUGUAAUGGACCACCAAGGCUGUGAUGGGUAGCUGGUGUGAGAGCACGACCAGCCUCACUGGCACUGAGACACUGGCCAGACACCUACGGGUGGCUGCAGUCGAGAAUCUUCGGCAAUGGACGAAAGUCUGACCGAGCGACGCCGCGUGUGGGAUGAAGGUCUUCGGAUUGUAAACCACUGUCGAGGGGGAUUAAGGGAAACUUGAAAGAACCCUGGAGGAAGGGGAGGCUAAGCUCGUGCCAGCAGCCGCGGUAAGACGAGCU